UACGUAGGUGGCGGGCGUUGUCCGGAAUUACUGGGUGUAAAGGGAGCGCAGGCGGGGAGCCAAGUUGGAUGUGAAAUACCGCAGCUUAACUGCGGGGCUGCAUCCAAAACUGGUUUUCUUGAGUGAAGUAGAGGUAGGCGGAAUUCCUAGUGUAGCGGUGAAAUGCGUAGAUAUUAGGAGGAACACCAGUGGCGAAGGCGGCCUACUGGGCUUUAACUGACGCUGAGGCUCGAAAGCGUGGGGAGCAAACAGG
rnacentral:rRNA from 1 species